rnacentral:lncRNA from 1 species
GUGACCGCUUGUUGACACUGGUGAACCUGCUGCCUUCUCUAAGCUUUAUCCUUCUGGGGAAUAUGAGUAAUUACACCAUUUUACCGACUCCAUCAAGCUUUGAGCAUCACACAUGGAAGAUGCAUAGAACAAUGUUCAGCCUCUCAGAAGCAGCUGAUACCUCUCUUUUGUUGAGAGUGCGUUAUUCAUACUGCAGUCACGAGCUGAUUCACGCUAAGACUUUGUACUUAGCGUUGACAUCCCAUCAGUCAUCUUUAGACAUGUUUGCUACUGUAAAACUGACUACGUUUAGGAAUGGACGCUAGGAGGGGAUGGAGCAGGGCAACUGGAAAAAUACAGGUGCAUGGUCGAGGAAAAAAAAAAAAUGGUCCAUUUGACUUCUACCACGACUGGACCAUUUGACUUGGGUUAGAAAUUUUAGGACUUUGAAGCGGAAGCACUUUGAAGCUUAGCAGCCACUGUAUCACCGGCAGCACUGUAUUUUUUCCCCGCUUUCAUGGUAGCUGCUUUGAGCAUUUAGUCCAUGGAACCCGUGACAAGUCUCUGAUGCUGAAAUUGGUCUUGGCUUAAAGGCUGGCCAUUUACUCAUUUCACUAUGGUUUUUAUAAGUAAAUCAGAUUUCUCAGUUUUAUAUUUUCCAGCAGGUUUUAUGAAGACUAGGUAUUUUUUCACUCUUGGGGAACUAUUUGUGAUAUGUUUUUCACUGUAAGGUUUUUUUUUUUCUGUUUUUUCCUUUAUAGAGAGAAAUAUGGAGUGGGAAAAAAUGUAAUAAGAGAUUCUUGGUACUUGAGUGGGUCUUAGAUGACUUUGAACUUAGUGUGUAGGUGUGUCUUGACCCACAUAAAAAUCUACAAAGAAAGGAUGACAUCUUGCGAGGCAGUUCAGAGAUAAUUGUGAAUGUUGCUUCCAUUCGAGGAGUGUUUCUCCUUUGGAGACAUGCAGUACAUGGGGCCCUGGGACUGAAUUAUAAGCUUUUGAAACUAGUAUUUGAUGGGCUCUGGACUGUGCUGUGAAAAAGAGGAAAAUUAGAAAGCUUAUGAAAACUAAUGUUAGAGUUUUGUCUUGUUUGUUUUUUGCUAUUUGUUGUAGAUACGCUCCAUUCUAAGAGUAAAUUAUUUGAACUUUGGAUGGAUUCCAUCCCAAGAGUCUUUUAUUUUCACUAGUGGGGACAUAAUUUGGGGUCAUAUAUAUAGGAAACACAGGGAAAAAAUAAUUCUUCUGUAUUUAGAGAACUGUAAAUUACAAGGUCACCUAAAGCUUGGUUUGCGGACUGGUCUUAUUUGUUGGUUAAUAAGGACAGUGAUUUUUUGAAGCAUGGGGAAGCUGCUGAGCUCUUCUGUGUCGGGUUUAUUUGCCAGCUGCGGGCCAGGGGAUCCCAAAGACCCUGCAUCCUGAUCUUGGUCCCACGCCCUGGCCCUGUGCUGAACUGUCCUUGGUAUUUCUCUGUUUCCCACACCGUUUAGAAUAAUUUAGGUAGGACCUCCGCUAACACUGCCGAGUAUCUGGUUAUUGCCUUUACGUCGUUUUGAGAAAGUGUGACCUUUUCGUUGGUCUGAAUCCUUCCUCCCGACCCAGGCGCACAGUGAAUUAUCAGGGACUCUCUUCUUCUUGGCACCUUCUGGAUCUUUGUGGUCUAUGUAUCUUUUCAUUAACUCUCACCUCUCUGAGGUACUUUUUGACAGUCUUUUUUUUUUUUUAAGGACUGCAUGUAUGGCAUAUGGAAGUUCCCCGGCUAGGGGUCAAAUUGGAGUUGCAGCUCCCUGCCUACACCACAGCCACAGCAAUGCAGGAUCCUAGCAAUGUCUGUGAUCUACACCACAGCUCACGGCAGUGCCGGAUCCUUAGCCCACUGAGCGAGGCCAGGGAUUGAACCCACAUCCUCAUGGGUACUAAUCAGGUUCAUUACUGCUGAGCCACAAUGGGAAUUCCUAUAGUCAUUUUAUGUAUAAUUGCAAUCUCGAAACACUGUGUUUAGCUUUUAAGAUAUCGGUAGGAGUUUUGAUGUGUUUUGGCAACAGGUAAAUUUCCCCCAACCAAGAGUAUUUUUCAAAAACCAAAAUAGUCACAGAACAUAAUCACUAAUAAGCUGAAACAUUAAAAUGUCACCAAACAUGGAGAAAACAUGUACUUUAUAUUGUAAUUUGGGUGGAGAGUCUAGCUUUUGUGGUCAUCCUGUUUUGACUUUGAACUAUUACAUGAAGGCACCUUAUAAACAGAUGGUUUGGAUGUUGAGUAUUCUGGAGAAUACUAAGGAAUGAUUUGGCAGAAAAUAAUUCAACAUUUUAAAAAGAACUUUCAUUUUAAAACCACUCAUUUUCCAUCUCUUUUCCUGUAACUUUCUCCUGUUGACUGAAAACAUCGCACUAAAUUUGUUGGCAAACCUAGAGAGAAUGGAACAUGGGUGUGGAAAACCACACCUUCCAUGAAAGAAGCACAAUGCUGCAAGAGAAAGAACCUGGAAAGUUCUUCAGUGUUCAAACUGUAUUUCCCUCUGCAUUUCCAACAGCAAGAAAAGCCCUGCUUAACUAGAACUUGGUUUGAAACUGAAAGAAGGAAAGUGUCUAUGAAAAGCAUUGCCACCAGACUCAGGUUUGGCUGCCCAUCACUCAGGAAUCACAUACUGAGAGACACAUGUUGGGUAAAAGGAAACAUACUCUAUUGAGACAGCCGGCCAUCCCGGGGAGAAGCUGGACUCAUGUCUCAAAGAACCAACUGCCAACUCCCCAGGUUUUGCUUGGAGAUUAUAUAGGAGGAAAUGGACAUUUGGGGGUGGGGGGGGGCUAAAUUUCUGUUUUCCGGAUGAUUGUGUUCAUCAUGAGAAUCAAGCAGCCAUCAAAUCAACCUUGCAGCUGGAACAUGCUCUGAGUUGUAAAUCUCUGCUUAGUGAGUCCUGAAGAGUAAGGGAUGAGCGUGAAGCCUGAAAUACAACUACUUUUCAGUCUUGGCAGGGAUCAGCAGCUUUCCUCAUUAGCAGCAAGCAAAACUCAGUUAAUGGUGAACUAGGGGAGAAGUCAGGCAUGGUGAACACAAGAUCGCAGCCAUAUUGCACCUAAGAAAUAGAGCUGGAAUACCACUGAGGAGCUGAGCAUCCCUAGUUAUAAUCCCCACUGUCAGAUUUUCCUUCCUUUUCUACGGAAAAGGGGCAAAGGUCCAUCUUCUGUGACUUCUUCAAGCUGAGCACAGGUGACGGAGGGUGCUUAGAGUGGGAGGAUCUGAUGUGGUGUAAGAAAUAUUCUUUGGGGGAGUUCCUGUUGUGGCUCAGUGGUAACGAACCCGACUAGUAUCCAUGAGGAUGCAGGUUUGAUCCCUGGCCCCACUCAGUGGGUUAAGGAUCCUGUGUUACUAUAGGUGUGGUGUAGGAUGGCCUCUGCAGCUCUGAUUCGACUCCCACAGGUGUGGCC